rnacentral:miRNA from 1 species
GAGCUUCCUUGGGUCCAAAGA